rnacentral:lncRNA from 1 species
UUUAUAUCCCCAAUGGUUUAGCAGUUUUUAAUGGCUCGAUUAACCAGGUGGUGGUUUUUCUCUUUCUGUUGAAUUAGACAUCCAGUUCGGCUGCCUUUGAUGAUUUGAUUCGGCGGAUGCUAUGGAUGUUUUAAUGGAUUACCUUAUUGUGCUUUUUUUAAUUGUUCAAUUAGCCUGGUAGUGUGGCUGUUUUCAAUUCGCC